rnacentral:rRNA from 1 species
ACAAGCGGUGGAGCAUGUGGUUUAAUCGAAGCAACGCGAAGAACCUUACCAGGUCUUGACAUCCCGAUGCUAUUCUAGAGAUAGAAAGUUACUUCGGUACAUCGGUGACAGGUGGUGCAUGGUUGUCGUCAGCUCGUGUCGUGAGAUGUUGGGUUAAGUCCCGCAACGAGCGCAACCCCUAUUGUUAGUUGCCAUCAUUCAGUUGGGCACUCUAGCGAGACUGCCGGUAAUAAACCGGAGGAAGGUGGGAUGACGUCAAAUCAUCAUGCCCCUUAUGACCUGGGCUACACACGUGCUACAAUGGUUGGUACAACGAGUUGCGAGUCGGUGACGGCGAGCUAAUCUCUUAAAGCCAAUCUCAGUUCGGAUUGUAGGCUGCAACUCGCCUACAUGAAGUCGGAAUCGCUAGUAAUCGCGGAUCAGCACGCCGCGGUGAAUACGUUCCCGGGCCUU